AGAGCAAGCUGCAGAGGGAGAGAGGAUGGGAGGCGAGGAGGCGGCCUGAGGGAAGGAACAGGAGGGAAGAGAGAUGAAGGGCAAAACCGGGGCCAGCCAUGCCUGUCCUAACAGCAGCCACCCAGCGGUGGCCCAGCCUGCUGAGAACUAGAAAAUCAGAAGAAAAAGGAGAAUCCACCAGGAGACCCAGGUUCCCAUGAGCAGGGGCCUUUAUCUGAAGUUAAUGGAAGCUAAGCCAGGUCCUGACAAUGUACCUUCUGAUGGGGAGAUGAGACUUUCCUCUGACAGCUAAGGUAACUCUGAAGCGUGAGCUGCCAGAAUUCAAGGCCACCUGCUUAAUAGAAGACAACUAGAAACCUCAUCCAUGAGCAUAAUGUUAUGUGGCUCGUUGUUUAUCUAUCCCCUGCCUGCCUCCUGGCUGGAGAGGCGCAGGGAGCUGCCUGUCCCUCCUGUUCAGAGCCACCGUUCCGCACCUGGACCACCGCUUGGCAGAGGCGGGAGUGGACGCUGUCACCAUCAGGAUGAAGGACAGGGGUGGCCCGGCGUG
rnacentral:sRNA from 1 species